rnacentral:tRNA from 1 species
GAGGGUAUAGCUUAAGUGGUAGAGCUCAUGCUUAGCAUGUAUGAGGUCGUGGGUUGGAUCCCCAGUAGCUUCU